GCAACAGCAGCAGCAGUAGCAGCAGCGCCAGCAGCAGCAGCAAAACCUCUGUGACUAAAUUGCCACAGAAAGAAGCCAGCUGUGUGGUGAUUGACUCAGACUCUGACUCUCUCUAUGAGGAAAAGAGAUCUAAGAUCUGUGAAAUAAGCA